rnacentral:tRNA from 1 species
UGGGAUAUAGCCAAGCGGUAAGGCAAAGGUUUCUGAUUCCUUCACGCGUAGGUUCGAAUCCUACUAUCCCAG